rnacentral:rRNA from 1 species
AUACGUAGGGGGCGAGCGUUGUCCGGAAUGAUUGGGCGUAAAGGGCGCGUAGGCGGCCCGGUAAGUCUGGAGUGAAAGUCCUGUUUUUAAGAUGGGAAUUGCUUUGGAUACUGUCGGGCUUGAGUGCAGGAGAGGUAAGUGGAAUUCCCAGUGUAGCGGUGAAAUGCGUAGAGAUUGGGAGGAACACCAGUGGCGAAGGCGACUUACUGGACUGUAACUGACGCUGAGGCGCGAAAGUGUGGGGAGCAAACAGGAUUAGAUACCCUGGUAGUCCACGCCCUAAACGAUGAAUACUAGGUGUGGGGGGACUGACCCCCUCCGUGCCGGAGUAAACACAAUAAGUAUUCCACCUGGGGAGUACGACCGCAAGGUUGAAACUCAAAGGAAUUGACGGGG